rnacentral:rRNA from 1 species
CAGUCGCCGCGGGAAUACGUAGGGUGCAAGCGUUAAUCGGAAUUACUGGGCGUAAAGCGUGCGCAGGCGGUUAUAUAAGUCAGAUGUGAAAUCCCCGGGCUCAACCUGGGAACUGCAUUUGAGACUGUAUGGCUAGAGUGUGUCAGAGGGGGGUAGAAUUCCACGUGUAGCAGUGAAAUGCGUAGAUAUGUGGAGGAAUACCGAUGGCGAAGGCAGCCCCCUGGGAUAACACUGACGCUCAUGCACGAAAGCGUGGGGAGCAAACAGGAUUAGAUACCCCUGUAGUCCCUGUCUCUUAUAC